UAACCCUUUCCAGCCCUCUCAAUAGUUUACAUCUUGUUUUGCAUAGUUAAACCUUUUUUUUUUUUAAUGGGGUAAAGAUUUACAAAGAAAGAAAGGGAAGCGGCACAUUGGUUAAAACUCUAGAACCAGACUGGGUAAAAGGAUUCCACCUCCCCUACUAAAUAGCUAAGUGGCUUUGUUUUCCUUGGUGUCUCAGUUCCCCAUCCGUCAAAUGGGGAGAAUUGUAGUUACACCCUUAUAAGGCUCUUUUAUUGGAUGAAAUGCGUUAAUACGGAAUAAUGGGAGUUGAGAACAGUGCCUGGCACGAAGGACAUGACUUGAUGCUUCUUGAAGAGAAGAGAGGGAACAGGAGAGAAGGUGUUCUAAAUCAAAUAGAGAAGCCGCUUCAGUGUUCUAAGUGCAAACGGCCCUGUUAGUCUGUUCUUGUCCAGUCUUUUCCAUGCUCUGAAAAAUUGAUGGGUGCCAUCCGUAACCACCUUAAUUUUGUCUCAACACCCACUGGAAGUGGAGCCAGACAAUUAAACUACUCUUCCAAUUUGAUGGCCGAAGAAUGCCUCUCAUGGUUACUUGGCUGGUGAGCCGAAGAGAAACAAAAUGUGUACAGUGUUGUCCUCAAUCCCAUACUCAACUUGCUAUCUAUUUUGGAAAUGUUAUGCACACACACUUUUCUAUGCUCUUUGCUCUCUCCUGAGCUUUCUUCCAACCAGUUGAUUGUCCCUCCUCACCUUACUUACAAAACCUGGUUCUUUUACUUCUGCCCAGUCAAGCGUUUUUAAGUUCUGGGUAACCUUACAUCCAAAGCUGAGUACCCGAGAUACUUAUGUAUUUAACAUUAGGUUGAAAAAAGUAAUCUUCCUAUCAAAAUCUGAUUGUCAUUUAAUUAACAUUGUUUUUUUUUUUUCUCUGUAUCCCUGGUGACUUCACUACUUCAUGAAUCCCUGAAGAAAUAAAACAUUCAGUGCAGCUCCAUGUCCCAUUUAUACGCAAAAUCAUGGGGACCCAGCAGGAGCCAUUUCAAGAGCAUCUCUUCCUUAGUCUGGAGUGUUUCUGUCCCCUUUCACAGUAGAAAAAUGGGUGUUUCUUGCUUUUCAAAGAAGAAACAAGUCCCUGCCUCUCCUGGGUACCAUUUUCUUUCUUUUUUUCCUUUAUUAUUAUAUGUGCAAAUUAGCAGUGCUUAUUUUUGUUUGUUGUCAGCAAUGCUUUGCCCUCCUGAUGGAAGCUAUAUACCCUAAGAGGAAAUUUGAUGCCAAAAAUUGAAAAGGAGCCAAGUGGUAAUUCAGAGUGACUCUGGAAAGGCUUCUGUGUGUUUUGUCUAUCUCACUGGUGCUGUUUAAUUUUACUCAUAUCUUAUGAAUAAGUAAAUCUUAUUCUGAAGAACAGCCCACACAGAAAAUACUUAAGAAUGGGAGAAGAUGCAGGGAGAGGAAUUAAGAUGUCUCUAAGGAAAAAGUUUCAUCUUCCAUCUCACUAGAGAGAAAAGAGUUACAGUGAGUGAGGUUUGUUUCUAUUUGCUGUAGUUAUAAGAACUGAAUUGCUGAGAUUUUUUUGUUUGUUUGUUUUUUACUCACUGGCUUAAUUUUAACUAACCUCUCAAGGAACAAAUGAAUCAGCAAUCUUCAUGGAGCAGCGCUUGAGUUCCUUGUCCAUGACAAAAGAUCAGAAAUUCACUGAACACCCUCCUUUUAAGAUCUUAAAAUUGUAUGUGAGAAUCACUCUCGCCAACAGAGAACUCUGGGCAUUCAUUAUAGAGAACUCUAGGCGUUCAUUAGCACCUGAGGUAAUGUCUAUACACAGAUUUCAGUCCUGUUCACAGCCCCUUAUGUAUACGGACCUUCAGAGCCAUUUCUGCACAUUCCAAGUGCAAUACUAUCUACCUGAAGGUAAUUACAAUUACCCAUCUCAUCCCACCUCCAACUUUGUCAUCUCUCCUAAAUUGAAACUUGGCUAACAGGAUACUCAAGAAACCAUCAUGCUCACUUAGAAAAGAACUGAGAUGUAAUACAGGCUGUGGGGUACUCUCUAUUUAUUGUAACCUAUUUUUUGUUAUUUCAGGAAAUAAUUUUUGUCUGUUUUAAUAGGAUUUGUUAAAACCUUAUACAAUUACUAUCAUGGACAGCAAGGGGAUCAAACCAGUCCAUCCUAAAGGAAAUCAACCCUGAAUAUUCAUUGGAAGGACUCAUGCUGAAGCUGAAGCUCCAAUUCUUUGGCCACCUGAUGCAAAGAGCCGACUCAUUGUAAAAAAACCCUGAUGCUGGGAAAGAUGGAAGGCAGGAGAAGAAGGGAACAACAGAGGAGGAGAUGGUUGGAUGGCAUCAUCGACUCAACAGAUAUGAGUUUGAGCAGACUCUGAGAUGGUGAAGGACAGCGAAGCCUGGCAUGCUUCAGUCCAUGGGGUCAGAGAGAAUCAGACGUGACUGAGUGACUGAACAACAACAACACCAAAAGGGAAAUUACUAUCAGUGGAUUCCUUUUCUUCAGGCCUAAUCUAAUAUUACAACCUUUUCCUCCAGGCCUCAGGCAUUUCCUCUCCCUCCUCAUUUGAGAAAACUAGUCUUUUUAUCUUUAGUACACAAUUACAAGAUUCCUUUCUUCAUCUUGGCUGAUUUUUUUCCUCGAUUCAUCCCACCCUCUCCUUCCCCACCCUCUCCAUCCCCACCAUGUCCACAAGUCUUUUCUCUGUCUGCAUCUCCACUGUUGCCCUGCAAAAGGUUCUUCAGUUCCAUCUUUCCAAAUUCCAUAUAUCUAUGUUAAUAUAUGAUAUUUGUUUUUCUCUUUCUGACUGACUGACUUCAGUCUGUAUAAUAGACUCCAGGUUCCUCCACCUCACUAGAGCUGACUCAAAAGAUGUUCCUUUUUAUGGCUGAGUAAUAUUCCAUUGUAUUGCAUUGUAUAUAUGAAAUAUACAUAUAUGAAUAUUCCAUCAUACCACAAAUUUUUAAUCCAUUCAUCUGUUGAUAGACAUCUAGGUUGCUUCCAUUUCCUAGCUAUUGUAAAUAGUGCUGCAGUGAACAUUGGGGUACAUGUGCCUUUUUCAGCUUUGGUUUCCUCAGGGUAUAUGCCCUGUAGUAGGAUUGUUGGGUCAAUAGGGUAGUUCCUUGUUUUUUAUUCACCUUGUUUGACUUCUGCUCUCAGAAUCAACUGAGAAUUCAUUAUACUAUUUCUGGAUAUUUCAGCUUUUUGCUCUUUUAUAAUCUUAAGUAAAAUUUUUAUGAAUAAAGUGUUUUGAAUGAAAUAAGCAUUUAAAAAAUUA